rnacentral:ncRNA from 2 species
AAACCACAAGGGGAGCCGAAGCUCCCCCAGAAGUGUUUGCGUGCUCUAUUUUUAUUAUUGGUUUCGGGCUUCUUGUUUUUGUUUAACGCCCUUGUCACCUGGUUAACCCAGAUGACCCUCCCAAUCGGGAGCCAAGAGCAAACGGAUUGCUUUGGUCGCUGUGUUGCAAUGAUCGAUGAUCCAACCAGUUCAGGCUCUGCCUUAGGGCAGUU